GCCGCAAUAGCCAAGGUGGUCAAGGCGGGCGCCUGAAGAGCGUCUUAUAUUGGUUCGACUCCAGUUUGCGGCA
rnacentral:tRNA from 1 species